AACCUCCCUACUCCUACGGGAGGCAGCAGUAGGGAAUCUUCCGCAAUGGACGAAAGUCUGACGGAGCAACGCCGCGUGAGUGAUGAAGGCUUUCGGGUCGUAAAACUCUGUUGUUAGGGAAGAACAAGUACGAGAGUAACUGCUCGUACCUUGACGGUACCUAACCAGAAAGCCACGGCUAACUACGUGCCAGCAGCCGCGGUAAUCACAU
rnacentral:rRNA from 1 species